UUUGAUGUUAUUUCUCAUUUCACAAUUGUCUUAAAAUCCAACAAAAAAAAAAAACAUUUACGAAACUCUCACAAGCACAGGCACUUUCAGAAAUCUAAAUUGUCUCUAAUUUGUCCGGCGCCAUAACGGUCAAAACCUGUCAGUCCACUCUCAAUCAUCUCCGGUUCGACGCCGUCCGAUUACUAUUCGCAGAGGAUCAGUCCGAUUUGUCUUUCCACAAGGUUCGGCUCGGUUUUUUGAUUAAUCUCUGAUUCUUUACUUUUUUGAUUCGGAUCACGAGCCGUUGAUUUAUUUGAUCAAAAUUCUCGAUUUCAUUUCCAAAUGAUUAAUGGAGAGGGGACUCGUAAGGAGAACCUCGCCGAAGUCGCCUCUCCCGAUCCGUUCGAUCCAUCCCGUUCGAAAUCGGACGGUGGUGGUGGCGGGGGCGGUGCCUCGACGGCGUCCUCGCCGCACUACUCAUCUUGCGGAGAGUCUGAGCUCGAACGAUAUUGCAGCGCGAACUCGGCGCUUGGAACGCCGAGUUCGAUAGCUACAUUCAAUGAUUGUUUCGGAGAAUCUGAGUUCGGGUCAGUGAGGAGUGUUAGUGGUUUUGGAUUAGGUGAUGAUUUUGAGAAUUUCAGUUUGGAGGGGAGCCAGAAAGUUCCAUCCAAUCGAAGAAUUGAGUUUCCAAAAGACAGAAUCGAAGACGGAAGGGUUGUUAAUGUUAAAAGUGUUGAAGAAGGUAGUUCUUCAUGUUUGGUUUCGGAGUUAAGGGAGGAAGAUGGGAAUUCAUCGAGAUAUGAGCAUUCGGAAGGGGAGGAUUCGAUGUAUAACUAUGGCAUGGAUGAUGAUGAGUGUAGGAAUAAUUCUUAUUAUAGGAAGAAAGAUAAUGAUGAGUAUGACACUAAGAAUGUGAACGAGAAUCCUUUAGGGAUUAAUUCAUCUGUGGCCUUUGGUUCCAAUGAUUGGGAUGAUUUUGAGCAAGAAGCAGGCACAACUGAUCUGGCUUCUUUCAUGCUAGAUGCAACUGCUGCGAGGGAAAAAGUUCAAGGUGGGAAUGAAUUGCAAAAGAAUGUCAAUAGUUUUGGUGAAUUUCCAAUUGGUUUAUUGAGUUCAGUUGAAACAGAGCUUGUAGAAGAAGUGAAAGACAUUCCUGUGGCUAGUUUUCAGGAACAGGUGGCUGAUGACUUAGUGGAAGAGGCAAAAAGUUCUUUGGUCAAUGUAAUCAGUUCUCAAAGGGGUCAUGAGGCAGAGAAAUAUGUGAAAGAUAUUCCUGUUACUAGGAAUCAACUCCAAGAUGCUGAUGAUGACAUGAAGUAUCUAGAAACUUGUUCUGUUACUGAUGUCUUUGAAAUGGAGCAGGAUCCCCCUAUAGAAAAAGCCCCUGUGGAGAUAGGUUUGGAUGUUUUGGAUUCUGACAGGGUAAGGAAGCAUCAAUCUGCUCAUGCUAAGGAAGUGAUUGCUGUUGAUGAGAGUUUAUUAUCAGAAAGACAGGAAAUUGGCAAUUAUAAAGCAGAAUUAGAUCCCCUUGCUGAUUGUGCCCAUCCAGUCUACUCUUCUCAAAAAGUAAAUGCAGAACUGUUUGAUGAUUGCAAACCAGAUUCACCCACAUCUACAUGUGAAAAUAUUGUGAGCAGUAGUACAUUCAAGAAUAUUCCUGUGCCAGCAGAUGUAGUUGAAGAACAUCCUGGACCAGUUAAGAUGGAGAAACUUGAGCUAAAUGAAUUUUAUGAUGAGGUUGUUCAUGACAUGGAAGAAAUUUUGCUUGAGUCUGUUGACUCUCCUGGAGCCAUGUUCUCUCAGGGUAAUAGGAUGUUCCAACCACAGUUAUCUCUACCUCUAAGAGAUGGAGGGUCAACUGCUUCUACUUCAGGUGUAGAUGAUGCUUACUCACGCUCUGCACACUUGCUGAGAAUAGAUGGUGUUGAAGUGGUGGGCGCAAAGCAGCAGAAAGGAGACGUCUCACUUAGUGAAAGAUUGGUUGGGGUAAAGGAGUACACUGUGUAUAAGAUAAGAGUGUGGUGUGGCGAUGACCAGUGGGAGGUUGAACGCAGGUACCGUGAUUUCUGUACUCUCCAUCGUCGCUUGAAAUCAUUAUUCUCUGAUCAAGGUUGGAGUCUUCCUUCUCCCUGGUCAUCUGUAGAAAGGGAAUCUCGAAAGAUAUUUGGGAACGCAGCUCCUGAUGUUAUUGCUGAAAGAAGUGUUCUUAUUCAAGAAUGUUUACAUUCCAUUAUCCAUUCCAGGUCUUUUUCUAGUCCUCCAAGUGCAUUGAUUUGGUUUUUGUCUCCUCAAGAUUCAUUUCCUAGCACCCCUCCAUCAAAUACUCGGUCGUCUCAGUCUACAGAUUUUUCAAGAGGGGCACAUACAGAAAAGAUUUCUCCUUUAGGGAAGACUAUAUCGCUUAUUGUUGAAGUUCGACCACCCAAACCAAUGAAACAGAUUUUAGAAGCUCAACAUUACACUUGUGCUGGAUGCCACAAACAUUUUGAUGAUGGAAUGACUCUGAUGCAAGAUUUGGUACAGUCACUUGGAUGGGGAAAGCCUAGACUUUGUGAAUACACCGGCCAGUUGUUUUGUUCAUCAUGUCACACAAAUGAGAUGGCAGUCUUACCAGCAAGAGUGUUGCAUAAUUGGGAUUUUACUCGGUAUCCAGUUUCACAAUUGGCUAAAUCGUAUCUGGAUUCUAUACAUGACCAGCCCAUGCUUUGUGUUAGUGCAGUUAAUCCUUUCCUGUUUUCGAAGGUUCCAACCCUGCACCAUGUUAUGGGCAUCAGGAAAAAAAUACGAAAUAUGCUUCCAUAUGUUCGCUGUCCAUUUCGGAUGUCAAUCAACAAAGGACUUGGGUCUCGAAGAUAUCUUCUUGAAAGCAAUGAUUUUUUUGCACUUAGAGAUCUCAUAGAUCUUUCCAAAGGAGCUUUUGCAGCUCUUCCUGUGAUGGUGGAAACUGUAUCAAGGAAAAUUCAGGAGCAUAUUGUAGAACAAUGCCUCAUAUGCUGUGAUGUGGGAAUCCCCUGCAGUGCUCGUCAGUCUUGUAAUGACCCAUCAUCUCUCAUAUUUCCUUUUCAGGAAGGUGAGAUUGAAAAGUGUAUGUCCUGUGGUUCAGUUUUUCAUAAGCAUUGCUUUAAAAAGCUUGUAGACUGUCCAUGUGGGGCGCUACUUAGGGCAGAUGAAGCUACGAGGCAUGCAAAUAGUCUAAUCCGUGGUGUCAGUUUUGGGGCCAGUGGAGCUUUGGACUUGUUAGGGAAGAGGUCAAGUUCAGGGUUACCUGUGGGUUUCCUCUCUGGACUAUUUUCAAAGACAAAGCCAGAAGGGAUGGAGCAUAAGGAUAAUGAAAACAUCAUUCUAAUGGGUUCUAUGCCCAGCAAUUAUUUGUGAUCACAUGUGAUGUAUACUUUGUAAGUUACUUUGAUUUGACAGGCUGGAGUUCGUUUUUUGGAGCUUGGUCUAUUAAUUGAUAUCGAUGUGACCAAAUUCUGAGAAACCUCUGUCUUUGCUACAGGUGCUGACCAGUCACCUGUAGAUAAAACAUACACGACAAGAAAGCUGUCUCGAGGGCCAUCAUGUAUGUACAUAGAUUUCUCUCAGAUUUUCAGUUUUCUGGUGGUAAAAAAUCUGGUAAAACUUUCCAAAGUUGUAAAUCUUGUUUCUGCAAAAGGGUUGUUUAGUGGGAAAGUACAAUGUUGUCUUAAGCCAAAUUGUUGUCAUUGAUAUUGUCUGUAAACACUCCUGAACGAGGAUUAAGUAUCCUAUUGAUCGCAUUAAGAGAAUCACUUUAAAUAGCAAGCUACUCGACAAGUUUCGUCUA